rnacentral:piRNA from 1 species
UUAAAGUAAUUCUCGAAGUGUGGAACAAAG